rnacentral:lncRNA from 1 species
UGAUGUUGAGCUUCAGUGCUUUCUUCAAAGGUGAUCAGUCUUUGAAUGGGCAGUGCUUGUGUCUUCAGCAGUACUUAGGAAAUAGCAGUAGAUAGAGCAACAGUGUUUUUCUUCAGCAGUCUUUAGAAUCUCAUCAGUAUGAUGGUAGAGCAGUAUUGUUAUAGUGAGCAGUACUUAAGAUCCAUCAGCUGUUAGAUAACCACUGUCAAGGGGAAAACUAAGUGUAAACCGCUGCUUAUUUUGAGUCCACUGUUGUGAUCCGGUUUUGGCUUUCAUUAUCUGUUCCUCUGGUAGGGUUC